rnacentral:rRNA from 1 species
UGCUAGAGCCAUAUCUCCUUGCAGUUCUCACCUGGUCUCCCACUGAAGCCAGGAAGGGUUGAGUCUGGCCAGUACAUGGAUGGGAGACCUCUUGGGAAAACUAAGGUUGUUGCUG